rnacentral:rRNA from 1 species
UACGGAGGGUGCAAGCGUUGUUCGGAUUUAUUGGGCGUAAAGCGCGUGUAGGCGGUUUCUUAAGUCUGAUGUGAAAGCCCUGGGCUCAACCCGGGAACUGCGUCCGAUACUGGUGGGCUUGAAUCCGGGAGAGGGAUGCGGAAUUCCAGGUGUAGCGGUGAAAUGCGUAGAUAUCAGGAAGAACACCCGUGGCGAAGGCGGCUCUCUGGGCAUUACCUGACGCUGAGGAGCGAAAGUGUGGGGAGCGAACAGG